rnacentral:rRNA from 1 species
CAGUCGCCACGGUAAUACGAAGGGUGCAAGCGUUACUCGGAAUUACUGGGCGUAAAGCGUGCGUAGGUGGUUGUUUAAGUCUGCUGUGAAAGCCCUGGGCUCAACCUGGGAAUUGCAGUGGAUACUGGGCAACUAGAGUAAGGUAGAGGAUAGUGGAAUUUCCGGUGUAGCAGUGAAAUGCGUAGAGAUCGGAAGGAACAUCUGUGGCGAAGGCGACUAUCUGGGCCAUUACUGACACUGAGGCACGAAAGCGUGGGGAGCAAACAGGAUUAGAUACCCCAGUAGUCCCUGUCUCUUAUAA